UACGUAGGGUGCAAGCGUUGUCCGGAAUUAUUGGGCGUAAAGAGCUCGUAGGCGGUUUGUUGCGUCGGCUGUGAAAUCCCGAGGCUCAACCUCGGGUCUGCAGUCGAUACGAGCAAACUAGAGUGUUGCAGGGGAGACUGGAAUUCCUGGUGUAGCGGUGAAAUGCGCAGAUAUCAGGAGGAACACCGGUGGCGAAAGCGGCGCGCUAGACACCUACUGACGCUGAGGCUCGAAAGCCAGGGGAGCAAACGGG
rnacentral:rRNA from 1 species